AUACGUAGGUGGCAAGCGUUGUCCGGAUUUACUGGGCGUAAAGAGCGCGCAGGCGGCCAAGGAAGUCGAAUGUGAAAGCCCCCGGCUCAACUGGGGAAGGUCAUUCGAUACUGUUUGGCUUGAAGAUAGGAGAGGGAAGUGGAAUUUCAGGUGUAGUGGUGAAAUGCGUAGAUAUCUGAAGGAACACCAGUGGCGAAGGCGACUUUCUGGCCUAUUCUUGACGCUGAGGCGCGAAAGCUAGGGGAGCGAACGGGAUUAGAUACCCCAGUAGUCC
rnacentral:rRNA from 1 species